CCUACGGGAGGCAGCAGUGGGGAAUAUUGCACAAUGGGGGAAACCCUGAUGCAGCGACGCCGCGUGAGUGAAGAAGUAAUUCGUUAUGUAAAGCUCUAUCAGCAGGGAAGAAAAUGACGGUACCUGUGUAAGAAGCCCCGGCUAACUACGUGCCAGCAGCCGCGGUAAUACGUAGGGGGCAAGCGUUAUCCGGAUUUACUGGGUGUAAAGGGAGCGUAGACGGCAGUGCAAGUCUGUAGUGAAAGGCGGGGGCUCAACCCCCGGACUGCUCUGGAAACUGUACGGCUGGAGUGCAGGAGAGGUAAGUGGAAUUCCUAGUGUAGCGGUGAAAUGCGUAGAUAUUAGGAGGAACACCAGUGGCGAAGGCGGCUUACUGGACUGUAACUGACGUUGAGGCUCGAAAGCGUGGGGAGCAAACAGGAUUAGAUACCCCAGUAGUC
rnacentral:rRNA from 1 species